UACGAAGGGGGCUAGCGUUGUUCGGAAUUACUGGGCGUAAAGCGCACGUAGGCGGACAUUUAAGUCAGGGGUGAAAUCCCGGGGCUCAACCCCGGAACUGCCUUUGAUACUGGAUGUCUUGAGUGUGGUAGAGGUGAGUGGAAUUGCGAGUGUAGAGGUGAAAUUCGUAGAUAUUCGCAGGAACACCAGUGGCGAAGGCGGCUCACUGGACCACAACUGACGCUGAGGUGCGAAAGCGUGGGGAGCAAACAGG
rnacentral:rRNA from 1 species